ACGAACGCUGGCGGCGUGCCUAAUACAUGCAAGUUGAGCGCUGAAGGUUGGUACUUGUACCCACUGGAUGAGCAGCGAACGGGUGAGUAACGCGUGGGGAAUCUGCCUCUGAGCGGGGGACAACAUUUGGAAACGAAUGCUAAUACCGCAUAAAAACUUUAAACACAAGUUUUAAGUUUGAAAGAUGCAAUUGCAUCACUCAAAGAUGAUCCCGCGUUGUAUUAGCUAGUUGGUGAGGUAAAGGCUCACCAAGGCGAUGAUACAUAGCCGACCUGAGAGGGUGAUCGGCCACAUUGGGACUGAGACACGGCCCAAACUCCUACGGGAGGCAGCAGUAGGGAAUCUUCGGCAAUGGACGAAAGUCUGACCGAGCAACGCCGCGUGAGUGAAGAAGGUUUUCGGAUCGUAAAACUCUGUUGGUAGAGAAGAACGUUGGUGAGAGUGGAAAGCUCAUCAAGUGACGGUAACUACCCAGAAAGGGACGGCUAACUACGU
rnacentral:rRNA from 1 species